rnacentral:tRNA from 1 species
CCGUGAGCUGGCCGGCAGUUCGGUCGCGCGGGUGGAGUUCGCGCCGAGGCCGGAGUUCGGGAGUCUGCCGGUGCGGCUCCAGCCGCUCGGC